rnacentral:rRNA from 1 species
CCCUGCCAUUUGUACACACCGCCCGUCGCUCCUACCGUUGGAUUUGAAGGUGAGCUUGGUGGAUGUCACAUACAUUGCUUGCAAUGUAUACAGAAACCAAACAAACCUUCUUGUCUGUAGGAAGGAGAAGUCGU